AGAGUUUGAUCCUGGCUCAAGAUGAACGCUGGCGGCGUGCUUAACACAUGCAAGUCAAACGGGGAUGCCAUUUUUGAAGCGAUUAGCUUGCUAAAAGUGGAAAUGUUGGCAUCUUAGUGGCGGACGGGUGAGUAACGCGCUGGGGAACCUGCCCUGUACAGGGGGAUAACACUUAGAAAUAGGUGCUAAUACCGCAUAAGCGCACAGUAUCGCAUGAUACAGUGUGAAAAACUCCGGUGGUACAGGAUGGACCCGCGUCUGAUUAGCUGGUUGGCGGGGUAACGGCCCACCAAGGCGACGAUCAGUAGCCGGCCUGAGAGGGUGAACGGCCACAUUGGGACUGAGACACGGCCCAGACUCCUACGGGAGGCAGCAGUCGGGAAUAUUGCGCAAUGGAGGCAACUCUGACGCAGUGACGCCGCGUAUAGGAAGAAGGUUUUCGGAUUGUAAACUAUUGUCCUCAGGGAAGAAAAAAGACUGUACCUGAGAAGAAAGCUCCGGCUAACUACGUGCCAGCAGCCGCGGUAAUACGUAGGGAGCAAGCGUUAUCCGGAAUUAUUGGGUGUAAAGGGUGCGUAGACGGGAUAACAAGUUGGUUGUGAAACCCCUCGGCUCAACUGAGGAACUGCAACCAAAACUAUUAUUCUUGAGUGCAGGAGAGGAAAGUGGAAUUCCUAGUGUAGCGGUGAAAUGCGUAGAUAUUAGGAAGAACACCGGUGGCGAAGGCGACUUUCUGGACUGUAACUGACGUUGAGGCACGAAAGUGUGGGGAGCAAACAGGAUUAGAUACCCUGGUAGUCCACACUGUAAACGAUGGAUACUAGGUGUAGGGGGUAUUAAGCCUUCUGUGCCGUCGCAAACGCAGUAAGUAUCCCACCUGGGGAGUACGACCGCAAGGUUGAAACUCAAAGGAAUUGACGGGGGCCCGCACAAGCAGUGGAGUAUGUGGUUUAAUUCGAAGCAACGCGAAGAACCUUACCAGGGCUUGACAUAUAAGUGAACGUCUAAGAGAUUAGUCAGUAUUUCGGUACACUUAUACAGGUGGUGCAUGGUUGUCGUCAGCUCGUGUCGUGGGAUGUUAGGUUAAGUCCUGCAACGAGCGCAACCCCUAUACUUAGUUGCCAGCACGUAAAGGUGGGAACUCUCAGGUAGACCGAUCGGUGAUAAAUCGGAGGAAGGUGGGGAGGACGUCAAAUCAUCAUGCCCUUUAUGUCCUGGGCUACACACGUACUACAAUGGCUAUAACAAAGAGAAGCGAGACGGAGACGUUAAGCGAAACCCAAUAAAGUAGUCUCAGUUCGGAUUGUAGUCUGCAACUCGACUACAUGAAGCUGGAAUCGCUAGUAAUCGCGGAUCAGAAUGCCGCGGUGAAUACGUUCCCGGCUCUUGCACUCACCGCCCGUCA
rnacentral:rRNA from 1 species